rnacentral:rRNA from 1 species
UACGGGGGGGGCAAGCGUUGUUCGGAAUUACUGGGCGUAAAGGGCUCGUAGGCGGCCAACUAAGUCAGACGUGAAAUCCCUCGGCUUAACCGGGGAACUGCGUCUGAUACUGGAUGGCUUGAGUUUGGGAGAGGGAUGCGGAAUUCCAGGUGUAGCGGUGAAAUGCGUAGAUAUCUGGAGGAACACCGGUGGCGAAGGCGGCAUCCUGGACCAACACUGACGCUGAAGAGCGAAAGCCAGGGGAGCAAACGGG